UACGUAGGCAGCAAGCGUUGUUCGGAGUUACUGGGCGUAAAGGGUGUGUAGGCGGUUCUUUAAGUUUGGUGUGAAAUCUCCCGGCUUAACUGGGAGGGUGCGCCGGAUACUGAGGGACUAGAGUGCGGGAGAGGAAAGUGGAAUUCCUGGUGUAGCGGUGAAAUGCGUAGAUAUCAGGAGGAACACCGGUGGUGUAAACGGCUUUCUGGACCGUAACUGACGCUGAGGCACGAAAGCGUGGGGGGCAAACAGG
rnacentral:rRNA from 1 species